ACCCUUUGAUAGCAAUAAGAUUAUUAGCAGGUAUCAGGUUUCCUAAACCUGGUGCCGCAAGUUCGAUUCUUGCUGGGGGUA
rnacentral:tRNA from 1 species